AAAAAAAACUACUGUAAGUUGCUCUGGAUAAGAGUGUCUGCUAAAUGACUAAAA
rfam:Salmo salar isolate Sally breed double haploid chromosome ssa20, whole genome shotgun sequence.